AGAACGCAAGAUUUUAGCGGCAACAUACUGCUUUGUAUCAGUUUCUCUACAUGCCUUAACUUGAUUCACCAACCGAGUGAUUCUCGUUGCGAAAUUAUUGAUUUUCUCAUUUUUCCUCCAUUUGAAUCAAUUCGAGCUAACGUUUGUGAGUUUGUAACCUCACCACCUUUUCUUUGUCAGCCCCUGCAUAUGCCUUCUCUAAGAUCUCCCACACUU
rnacentral:lncRNA from 1 species